rnacentral:rRNA from 1 species
CAGUAGCCGCGGGAAUACGUAGGGUGCGAGCGUUAAUCGGAAUUACUGGGCGUAAAGCGUGCGCAGGCGGUUGUGUAAGACAGGUGUGAAAUCCCCGGGCUUAACCUGGGAACUGCGCUUGUGACUGCACAGCUAGAGUAUGGCAGAGGGGGGUGGAAUUCCACGUGUAGCAGUGAAAUGCGUAGAGAUGUGGAGGAACACCGAUGGCGAAGGCAGCCCCCUGGGCCAAUACUGACGCUCAUGCACGAAAGCGUGGGGAGCAAACAGGAUUAGAUACCCGGGUAGUCCCUGUCUCUUAUAC